rnacentral:rRNA from 1 species
CCUACGGGUGGCAGCAGUGAGGAAUAUUGGUCAAUGGGCGGGAGCCUGAACCAGCCAAGUCGCGUGAGGGAAGACGGUCCUAUGGAUUGUAAACCUCUUUAGGCGGGGAGCAAUGCCGGGCACGCGUGCCCGGAGGGAGAGUACCCGCAGAAUAAGCAUCGGCUAACUCCGUGCCAGCAGCCGCGGUAAUACGGAGGAUGCGAGCGUUAUCCGGAUUUACUGGGUGUAAAGGGCGUGUAGCCGGGAAGGCAAGUCAGAUGUGAAAUCUGGAGGCUCAACCUCCAAAUUGCAUUUGAAACUGUUUUUCUUGAGUACUGGAGAGGCAGACGGAAUUCCUUGUGUAGCGGUGAAAUGCGUAGAUAUAAGGAGGAACACCAGUGGCGAAGGCGGUCUGCUGGACAGCAACUGACGGUGAGGCGCGAAAGCGUGGGGAGCAAACAGGAUUAGAUACCCGAGUAGUC